CUAGUUGUUGGUUAUCUUUUAUGACAGCUACUAGCCUACUACUGUUUCUUUUUUACUUCUGGAAAUGAUGAACCAUACAGUCAUGACCUGAUAUGUAAUAUUCUCAGUGCCCAUGAAAAUGAUAUGGUACUAUUAUAAAUUCUGCUCUUAUAUUCAUAGUGCAAUUUGUUGCUUAUUGGCUGUUUCAAUUUGCUAAUUGUUAUAUGCUCUUGUGCUUGAGAGUGGAUGUAAAUUUGGAACUGUUAUUGCAUUUAAAAUCUUCUAUUGUAUUAUGCCACACAAGGUUUUACAAGAAAAGCAGAGAGAGAGAGAGAGAGAGAGAGAGAAAGAGAGAGAAAGAGAGAGAAAUGUUGUGUAGUAACAAGUUCUCUGUUGGCUAAUAAUUUUUUAUUAGUUAGGAGCCUUAAUGAAUGAAAAAUGGAAGUCUCCAACCUAGUUUUGCUGAUAGAAUAUUAUAAAUUCUGAUGAUGCACUUGUUAGCACCACAAUAAUGCAGUGUUCUAUUUUCCAUAAAAUAACCCAAAUUUGUUGAACCUUUUCUUCUUAUUAUUAUUAUUUUAAUUUAACCAUUUUGAUAAUCAUGUUUGAAUUUAAAAUUGAAAUGGCAUUUAAAAGAAAAGAAACAAGAAGUUUAUAUUUGGAUUACUUACAGUGUCUUUUCUGCGUCUUAUUUUUCCUUGCUUCUUUCCUAGUGAAAUUUUCAAAUCCACCAUAAGUUCACUAAUUCCAAACUCAAUUGUUUGCUGCUCUUUCACUCUUGAUAUUACUAAUUUUGUUGAAAAUUCACUCUUAACAACCAGGUAAUCAUUAAGAUGGACGAUCUCACCCAAAAAGACUGUAGUUUCUCCUGUGUAGUUUUUGGUUUACUCUCUUAAAAUGGCUUUUUUGGCUUUUGAUUUGUGUGGUUGCUGCUGUUUUGUCUCUUGGAGAAUGAUUGUAAAUUUAGCGUUUGAUUUGAUUGGAGACUGGGAAGAGACUGUUAUGGUCCCAGGUUGCGGAUUGUGUCAUGGGAUGACCCAUGAUUGAUAGAAAAGGAGCUCGUUGGAGGGAGCUUUUAACACCUCAAGACUCGAAAAGGAGAGAGUCUCAAUCUCACAAUUCUUAGAAUAAAUAUACUAGUUUUAUUGAAUAAAAUAGAUUUAGGAUAAAAUAAAUAGAAAAUAUGAUAAGAUAAGAUAAUGGGAAAUCUGAAAAGAAACUACUAGAUAAAUAAAAAGGAGAUUUACUAGUUAGUCUCUGAGUAUUGCCAUUAUUAACAAAUCAGUCUCUAUAUUUUUAAAAAUCUAUUAAAACAUCUUUAUAUUUUCUCUCCGUCAUUGAAAUAGUCAUUAUAUCCUCUUUUCCGUUAAAAAUAGAUAAAGGAUGAGAGAGAAAAUUUUUAAAAUCUAAUUUUGCUCUCAAAUAAAAUCCCUUAUUUAGUCCUUGGAUAUUGCUAUUAUUAACAAGUCAGUCUCUAUAUUUUCAGAAAUAUAUUAAAACGUCCUUAUCUUUUCUUAUAUCUAUUAAAAUGUCCUUAUCGUUUCUUUCCGUCAACGAAAUAGUCCCUUCUCUUCCUCCUCCUCAAAAAAGAAGAAAAAAGAAGAAGAAGAAGAUGAUGAUGAUGAAGGAGAAAAAGAAGAAAAAGAAGAAGAAAAAGAAGAAGAAGAUGAUGAUGAUGAAGAAGAAGAAGAAAAAGAAUCGCCUCCUCCUCCUCCUUCUCCUUAAAGAAGAAGAAUAAAAAGAAAAAUCGAAGAAGAAUCAAAGAAGAAGAAGAAGAAAAAGAAGAAUCAAAGAAGAAGAAGAAGAGGAGGAAGAAUCGAUGAAGAAGAAGAAGAAGAGGAGGAAGAAUCGAUGAAGAGGAAGAAUCGAUGCAGAAGAAGAAGAAGGAGGAGGAGGAGGAGAAGAAGAGGGGUAAUUUGAUCUUUUGCUAUAUUUUUAACUGUAGAAAUAGACGGAAUGACUAUUUUGUUGAUGGAGAGAAAAGAUAAGGACGUUUUAAUAGGUUUCUGAAAAUGUAGGGACUGAUUUGUUAAUAAUGGCAAUACCCAGGGACUAAAUAGUAAAUCUCCCUAAAUAAAAUCUGUUUGUUAUGGAUUUUGUCUAUCCAUUAUUUAUAACAUCAUCAAGCUCAAAUGUGAGAUAUGCAACAUGAAAAUAAAAUAAAAUAAUUGAUAGACUCUCUUGUAGUUUCAAAUUCAAGACAACAUUAUCAACUAACUAAUAUUUUUUAAAUUCGGGUGUCUGGAUCAAAGGUAACUUCACUUGAAACUAAAUCAAGUUCAUUUGAAACAUGAUCUACUACGUCUACUCUUGUAAGUUUCAGAAUGUAGGAUGAUAAUGUACCAUUUGUGCCGUCACACGAUGAAAAGUUGAGUUUGUCAUUUCGGAGCACCGUAGGUACUUCUAUCUUCUCAUUCGCUUAUUGGCCAAAAUUUGAUUGGUUGCAGCUCGAUUUAUCUUGAUUUUGGAUUUUGGUUCAACCUCCUAUUGAAGGUUCAGACUAGUUCAGAAAUCUGCUGAGUUAAGUCAUUAAGUCAUUCAAACGUCCAUCAAAUUGUUGCAUGAAAGAAUUCAACUUAUCUUCUAGAUUUAUUGAAAUACCUGUGAUGCUCUGAUACUAAAUUAUUAUGGUCCUAGAUUGCGGAUUGUGUCAUGGGAUGAUUGAUAGGAAAAGAGCUCAUUAGAGGGAGCUCUUAACACCUCAAAGACUAAAAAAGGAGUCUCAAUUUUAUAAUUCUUAGAAUAAAUAUGCUUGUAUUAUUAAAUAAAAUAAACCCCUUUUAUAGUGGCGGUUCUAAUACUCCUAAUUAAAGUAGAAGUCUAAUACUAGUAACCAUUAGAUCUAGGAUAAGAUAAUAAAAAAUAUGGUAAGAUAAGAUAAUGAAAAAUCUGAGAAAAAACUAUUAAAUAAAUAAAAUAUGUUUGUUAUGGAUUUGGCCUAUCCAUAACUAUAACAUAGUUGUUAUGGUCCCACGUUGCGGAUUGCGUCAUGGGAUGAUUGAUAAGAAAGGAGCUCCUCAGAAGGAGCUUGUAACACCUUAAGACUCAAAAAGGAGAGAGUCUCUAUCUCACGAUUCUUAGAAUAAAUAUGUUUUUUUGGCUUUUGAUUUGUGUGGUUGCUGGUGUUUUGUCUCUUGGAGAAUGAUUGUAAAUUUAGGGUUUGAUUUGAUUGGAGACUGGGAAGAGGCUUUCAUUGCUAUUGCUCUUACCAUGGAAGAGAGAAUGGAAUACCAUGAGUUAUCGACUAGUGAGAAUGAUCAAAUAAAAAGAUAUGAAUUUUGUCUGAUUGUGUGUUGCACCAGUUAAGAUAUGCAGGACCUUCUGUUUUUUCUAGUUAUUUCUUACUUCUUUUUAAAAUUAUUUUACAUCCCUAAGGUAUGUUAAAUUAACACUUAUCUUCCUCUAUUUUUUAAAACUCAACUAUUUAAUCUUUGUAUUUUGAUUCCUUCAAAUUGGAAGUCUCUGUUUAAAUUUUUUGUUAAUCAUCUUUGAACUAACCAAAAUACCCUUAAAUAUACAGUAUGCUUUAAUACUUGGAUUAUAUCAAAAUUAACACAUACAACCCUUAAUUUCUCAAAAAUAAAUAGUUUAAAAUAGUUUUCUUUUUUUGUGUUGCUAUACACACACACACAGAGAGAGAGAGAGAGAGGUGGGGGCAUGCAGAUAGAAUUAUGAAUUUUUGUAUAAAUGUCUAGAAUUUCUAAUUGUAUUAGAUUUUUGUUUAUAAUACUUAGGAAUUGAAUAUGGAUUAUUUUUGCUGUUAUCACCUUAACAUCAAAAUGAGUUCAUAAUGCAAUGGGCAUAUCAACAUUUACGAUUUUACUGUUUGGUUUGUGAAAAGUCCAUGGGAUUUGGGAAGGUGUCGCAUGCCAUAGCAGUAGGAGGAGUUAUUUUUCUUUUUACAUUACUUUGUUUUUGCAGAACUAAUAUUUCUGUCUUUGAAACACAAAAAACAGUAAAAUUUUGUUGGCUUCCAUAUAUACACGCAUAAGGUAGCAAAAGAAGUGAUACUUUUCAGUAUUGUUUCAUCACAAUUAAUUUUGCAUGCUUCAUUCCUGAUAAUGCGUUUCUAUAUAACCUUUUAUAGCCAUUUAAUUGAUUCUACAUUCUUUUUUUUUUUUUUUUUNN
rnacentral:lncRNA from 1 species